UACGGAGGGUGCGAGCGUUGUCCGGAAUCAUUGGGCGUAAAGAGCUCGUAGGCGGUCUGUUGCGUCCGCUGUGAAAACUCGGGGCUUAACCCCGAGCCUGCAGUGGAUACGGGCAGACUAGAGGUAGGUAGGGGAGAAUGGAAUUCCCGGUGUAGCGGUGAAAUGCGCAGAUAUCGGGAGGAACACCGGUGGCGAAGGCGGUUCUCUGGGCCUUACCUGACGCUGAGGAGCGAAAGCGUGGGGAGCGAACAGG
rnacentral:rRNA from 1 species